UCAGAAUUAACCUUUGGAUUUAUAUACUUACCUUUCCUGUUCCUCUUCGCCCUGUUGUGGUCUUUGCUUGUUAGUAUUGAUUCUGAACUUGUGCUUCUGGUUACAUACUCUCUGGCUUGUUAUCCGACUCUGUGACUUUCUCCUACCCUUUGACCUCGGCUUGUUUCACGUUAUUCUGUCUUCUGGUUCCCCUUACUCAGCUUGUUUCCUGAC